AGUGAACGCUGGCGUUAGGCCUAACACAUGCAAGUCGAACGGCAGCACAGUAAGAGCUUGCUCUUACGGGUGGCGAGUGGCGGACGGGUGAGGAAUACAUCGGAAUCUACUUUUUCGUGGGGGAUAACGUAGGGAAACUUACGCUAAUACCGCAUACGACCUACGGGUUAAAGCAGGGGAUCUUCGGACCUUGCGCGAUUGAAUGAGCCGAUGUCGGAUUAGCUAGUUGGCGGGGUAAAGGCCCACCAAGGCGACGAUCCGUAGCUGGUCUGAGAGGAUGAUCAGCCAAACUGGAACUGAGACACGGUCCAGACUCCUACGGGAGGCAGAAGUGGGGAAUAUUGGACAAAGGGCGCAAGCCUGAUCCAGCCAUACCGCGUGGGUGAAGAAGGCCUUCGGGUUGUAAAGCCCUUUUGUUGGGAAAGAAAAGCAGCAGGUUAAUAACCCGCUGUUCUGACGGUACCCAAAGAAUAAGCACCGGCUAACUUAGUG
rnacentral:rRNA from 1 species